rnacentral:rRNA from 1 species
AGAGUUUGAUCCUGGCUCAGGAUGAACGCUAGCUACAGGCUUAACACAUGCAAGUCGAGGGGCAGCAUUGGGGUAGCAAUACUCAGAUGGCGACCGGCGCACGGGUGAGUAACACGUAUCCAACCUGCCGCUUACUCGGGGAUAGCCUUUCGAAAGAAAGAUUAAUACCCGAUGGUAUAAAGAGUUCGCAUGUUCUCUUUAUUAAAGAAUUUCGGUAAGCGAUGGGGAUGCGUUCCAUUAGAUUGUUGGCGGGUAACGGCCCACCAAGUCUACGAUGGAUAGGGGUUCUGAGAGGAAGGUCCCCCACAUUGGAACUGAGACACGGUCCAAACUCCUACGGGAGGCAGCAGUGAGGAAUAUUGGUCAAUGGACGAGAGUCUGAACCAGCCAAGUAGCGUGAAGGAUGACUGCCCUAUGGGUUGUAAACUUCUUUUAUAAGGGAAUAAAGUGAGGGACGUGUCCCUUUUUGUAUGUACCUUAUGAAUAAGGAUCGGCUAACUCCGUGCCAGCAGCAGC